AGCAAUACAUGAGUACAGCGGCGCACGGGUGAGUAACACGUGGAUAACCUGCCUCAAAGUGGGGAAUAACACCGGGAAACCGGUGCUAAUACCGCAUAUUCUGACGAGGUCUGCGGAUUUCGUCAGGAAAGGAGCAAUUCGCUAUGAGAGGGGUCCGCGGCUGAUUAGCUAGUUGGUGAGGUAAUGGCUCACCAAGGCCACGAUCAGUAGCCGGUCUGAGAGGACGGUCGGCCACACUGGAACUGAGACACGGUCCAGACUCCUACGGGAGGCAGCAGUGGGGAAUUUUUCGCAAUGGGGGCAACCCUGACGAAGCAAUGCCGCGUGGAUGAUGAAGUCUCUUGGGACGUAAAAUCCUUUCGACAGGGACGAAACCGCAAGGUUGACGGUACCUGUAGAAGAAGCCCCGGCUAACUCCGUGCCAGCAGCCGCGGUAAUACGGGGGGGGCAAGCGUUG
rnacentral:rRNA from 1 species